UAGGGAAUCUUCGGCAAUGGACGAAAGUCUGACCGAGCAACGCCGCGUGAGUGAAGAAGGUUUUCGGAUCGUAAAACUCUGUUGUUAGAGAAGAACAAGGACGUUAGUAACUGAACGUCCCCUGACGGUAUCUAACCAGAAAGCCACGGCUAACUACGUGCCAGCAGCCGCGGUAAUACGUAGGUGGCAAGCGUUGUCCGGAUUUAUUGGGCGUAAAGCGAGCGCAGGCGGUUUCUUAAGUCUGAUGUGAAAGCCCCCGGCUCAACCGGGGAGGGUCAUUGGAAACCGGGUGACUUGAGGGCAGAAGAGGAGAGUGGAAUUUCAUGUGUAGCGGUGAAAUGCGUAGAUAAAGGGAGGAAAACCAGUAGCGAAGGCGGCUCUCUGGUCCGUAACCUACGCUGAGGAUCGAAAGCGUGGGGAGCAAACAGG
rnacentral:rRNA from 1 species